ACGAACGCUGGCGGCGUGCUUAACACAUGCAAGUCGAACGGAAAGGCCCUGCUUUUGUGGGGUGCUCGAGUGGCGAACGGGUGAGUAACACGUGAGUAACCUGCCCUUGACUUUGGGAUAACUUCAGGAAACUGGGGCUAAUACCGGAUAGGAGCUCCUGCUGCAUGGUGGGGGUUGGAAAGUUUCGGCGGUUGGGGAUGGACUCGCGGCUUAUCAGCUUGUUGGUGGGGUAGUGGCUUACCAAGGCUUUGACGGGUAGCCGGCCUGAGAGGGUGACCGGCCACAUUGGGACUGAGAUACGGCCCAGACUCCUACGGGAGGCAGCAGUGGGGAAUAUUGCACAAUGGGCGGAAGCCUGAUGCAGCAACGCCGCGUGCGGGAUGACGGCCUUCGGGUUGUAAACCGCUUUCGCCUGUGACGAAGCGUGAGUGACGGUAAUGGGUAAAGAAUCACCGGCUAACUACGUG
rnacentral:rRNA from 1 species